rnacentral:rRNA from 1 species
AGUGAACGCUGGCGGUAGGCCUAACACAUGCAAGUCGAACGGCAGCACAGUAAGAGCUUGCUCUUACGGGUGGCGAGUGGCGGACGGGUGAGGAAUACAUCGGAAUCUACUUUUUCGUGGGGGAUAACGUAGGGAAACUUACGCUAAUACCGCAUACGACCUACGGGUGAAAGCAGGGGAUCUUCGGACCUUGCGCGACUGAAUGAGCCGAUGUCGGAUUAGCUAGUUGGCGGGGUAAAGGCCCACCAAGGCGACGAUCCGUAGCUGGUCUGAGAGGAUGAUCAGCCACACUGGAACUGAGACACGGUCCAGACUCCUACGGGAGGCAGCAGUGGGGAAUAUUAGGCAAUGGGCGCAAGCCUGAUCCAGCCAUACCGCGUGGGUGAAGAAGGCCUUCGGGUUGUAAAGCCCUUUUGUUGGGAAAGAAAAGCAGCAGGUUGAUACCCCGCUGUUCUGACGGUACCCGAAGAAUAAGCACCGGCUAACUUCGUG